rnacentral:rRNA from 1 species
AACGAACGUUGGCGGCGUGGAUUAGGCAUGCAAGUCGCACGCGAAAGAGGGGGCAACCCCUCGAGUAGAGUGGCGAACGGGUGAGUAACGCGUGAGAAACCUGCCCAGAAGCGGGGGAUAACACUCCCAACGGGGUGCUAAUACCGCAUGUGAUGAGCGGUUCGCAUGGACCGCUUCUCAAAGAUGGCCUCUGCUUGCAAGCUAUCGCUCCUGGAUGGUCUCGCGUCCGAUUAGCUAGUUGGCGGGGUAAUGGCCCACCAAGGCGACGAUCGGUAGCUGGUCUGAGAGGAUGGUCAGCCACACUGGGACUGAGAUACGGCCCAGACUCCUACGGGUGGCAG